AUGGGUUGCUACGUGACUUGGCUCGUCCGAAUCAGGUGUACGCGAGGACGAGGUAAACAACCAAACCAACCCUCUGCCUCCUCCCCUACUCUCGUUGUCGCCCGCAGAACCCCACCCAAGCCCUCGCUCGCUCGCCGGAAUCUAGGGCGGCCGCGGCGGCCGGGAGCAGACGCGCGCGGGAGGAGUAGUUCGGGUCCGCGCCGCAACCCUUUGCCUCGGCCACCACCGCCGUCCGCGCCGCCGCCCUUUGUCGUCGCCACCACCGCCGUCCGCGCCGCCGCCCUUUGUCGUCGCCACCACCGCCGUCCUCGCCGCAUCCACCACCAUCGUCCUAACUUCUCUCGGCCGUUGCCGGGGAUCCGGCCGCGCAACAAAUCGAUCGCAAAGGAUCUCAAGGCCUGCCGCCCUGCCCGGCGCACCCAUCCAGAGGCACAUGUUCUCCACAGAUCCAUUGGAUCCCUUGCCGCCUCUCAUCGUCCUUUUUCAUCGUGGCUUGCCCUGGAUGCUAGAUUCUGCAAUUCCUCACCUGCAGUAUGGAAGUGCAUCUUCACCUGGGGCGCUAGCUGCUGA
rnacentral:rRNA from 1 species